rnacentral:rRNA from 1 species
UACGUAGGGGGCAAGCGUUGUUCGGAUUUACGGGGCGUAAAGGGCGCGUAGGCGGCGCGUAAAGUCGGACAUGAAAUCAUUAGGCUCAGCCUAGUGGCUGUGUCCGAUACUUACGUGCUUGGAGUGCGGGAGAGGCAGCCGGAAUUCUCGGUGUAGCGGUGAAAUGCGUAGAUAUCGAGAGGAACACCGGUGACGAAGGUGGGUUGCUGGACCGACACUGACGCUGAGGCGCGAAAGCUAGGGGAGCAAACGGG